GCUCCUCACCGCCCCCGGGCGGGCGGGCGGCCAGGCUGGCCUAGGCCAAAGCUCCUCACCUGGCGGUGGCGGUGGAACUCCCGGCUAGCUCGCCUCCUCAGGCGGCGGCGGAGGCGUCGAAAAAGGAAGAGGCGACGGCACAGAGACGGGAUGCCGGAACUACACCCCACCCUUGAAGAGUGAGUGGCUGGAGAAGUGAUGAUUGGCGUGGAGACUGGCGAGCUGCGUUGGGCUCUGCGUUGGGUGGUGUUUCAUCGCGACAGAAUCCAAGAAUUUCCCGAUAGAAGUCGCUUUAGGCUCUUGGGCCUUGCUGUCUCUUUGGGGCGUGGUCUGUCUCCGUCUGCCAAAGGCCUUGAGCUUCCUGGUCUCCAUCGAACCUCAGCGCGGUCCUGUCGUGACCAAACCACGACAGCAGAGAAAAAGGCAGCGAGCCACAUUGCUGAGCAGUUACGUCCAAUGUGUUCUCUGCCAUCUAAAGGGCCCUUCUUCAAGGGCUGCAAGGAGACACGAGAAACACGGUGGUGGAAGACACCAAGCUGAGGAAGACACUAGUGAGGCCUGAGAAAAUGCCUUUCAGUGAAAUGAAACCAGGCUGUGGAGGGGGACUUUCAAUCUGGAGCGAUCAAGCUCCACAGAAGGCAAGUCGGUGAGGCCACUGUUGUAGUGGACAUGACCUUUGCCCCAUGCAGGCUCUACCUGUGUGUUCGUUUUCUUUGUGAAGCUAACAUUUAUUGAGUGUGCUUAGCACUUUAUAUGGUUUAUAUAAUUAAUCUUUAAACAACCUCUCCUAUUUGCAGAUGAGGAAAAACUGAGGCACAGCAGUUAAGCAACUUGUUUGAUGUAAUAAAAUUAGUAAGUGGCAGAGACAACAUUUAAUUAAAAUUUGUCAUACUCAAGCCUAUACACUCUAAAGUCUGGGAAGAGAAAUUGGGCCAGGUAGUUUGGGCAUAUCCUUCCCCUUAUACAGCGACCUGGGCUGCAGGACAGAGAGAUGUCAGAUGCCAUGGUGAGUACUUUGCCUUUGGAAUUCCCAGAUGUUCUUGUGGUUAAAGAAUUCUGUAGUUCUACUCAUCUGACCGUAGGCCUCUAGAAGGAAGCCCCAAAAUAGAAGCAUAAACUGGCAGGCAGAAUCCAUUAUCAUUAUUGUGAACCAAGGGGCACUCUAGACCAAGAAGUUGUAUUAAGAUAAGGACUGAGCCCUAAAAUUCUCUAAUUUCAGAUGGUUCAGCACAUUGCUGGGCACGCUACACUCAACAGAAACUUAUGAUUUCAGGAAGGCAGUUGCUCCCUUGCACAAGGUCCUUGCAGAUGAUACAGGGCGAAGUUGAUUCUGGGGAGGAAGGUUCGAUCAGAACCUGGGGUGACAUGAGGGUUCCCUUCUGAAGAAGACACCUCCUAGUCCCUAGCAAAAGAGAUGGCAUUUCCUAAGCCCCUGCUUCCCUCCUGUGCAGCUCCUUUAGAACAUUGGAAAAGCAUCCCACCAUGCUUGAGACAGGACGGGAAAGGGUCCUCUGGCUGAAGGUCCCAGAAUUCAGAAGUAGUACUUCUCUCUUCAUCCACUGAUCUCUACCCCCAGGAAUUUGCACUAAAGGCUCAUGAAAGAAAGGGAGAACUACCAGUGGGCCAGAGAGAGUAGAAAAAUGAUGCUCCCUCCCUGAUGCCCACAUGCAGCGAGCCCUUAAUCCUUGCCCCUAUCUUCCUGGAGCUAUCCCCAGGCUGAGACCGUGGUUGGAAGAGUAUUGCCUGCAGUUAGAGCAACUAAGAAGGCCUAGGACGACUGCCAGGGCUCCCAGGAUGCAUGAGGUCUGCCGACACCAGCUACUAGGGAGAGGGUAUCAUCCGUGUGGAGAGGACUGAAAGACACAGAGCCAGGAGCUGAGGAUGGAAGCACACAGGAAGCAGGAUCACAUGGAGAACACCCAAUGCCAACCACCAGGCCAGCCCCAGCUCUCCAUGCCUCUCCCUGCCUGCGCCUGGCUACUCCAUCCCCAAGCCAUGUCACCAGUCCCUACCCACCUGUCUGGGAGCUGCCUGUCUUUUGUUGUGCUGCUGCCUGCUGCUUCUGCUGCUGCUGCUGCUGCUGCUGCUGCUGCCGCUGCUUCCGCCGUUCUCUCAAGGGCUGGCGGAACUGAGCAGCCCCCAGGACGACGUUCCGGAGCUUGGCCCAGCGCAGGCGCCCACCCGGUGUACCAGACGGCCACUUGCUUUCCAGCACAGCCUGCCAAGCACAAUGCCCACCAAGAUGGGCUACUUCCACACCCUGACCCCAGCCUGAUGCCCACUGCCUGUCCAGGAGCCCCAAGGACCACCGUCCCCUCCAGACAUCAUGCCUAGGACUGUCCCAUCAAUGGCUUGUCUUCUGAACAAGAGCCCAGAAGAAGCAGCCACCUUGCAGGGGGUCUAGAGGAAGUCAGAAGCAGUGGAGACAAUUUGUAUCCAGACUUUGGUACUUAUAAACUAUAUGGCUUUGAAGAAAUCA